AUUGAACGCUGGCGGCAGGCCUAACACAUGCAAGUCGAACGAGUGGCGGACGGGUGAGUAAUGUCUGGGAAACUGCCUGAUGGCGGGGGAUAACUACUGGAAACGGUAGCUAAUACCGCAUACCAUCAGAUGUGCCCAGAUGGGAUUAGCUAGUUGGUGGGGUAACGGCUCACCAAGGCGACGAUCCCUAGCUGGUCUGAGAGGAUGACCAGCCACACUGGAACUGAGUCACGGUGCGGACUCCUACGGGAGGCAUCAGUGGGGAAUCUUGCACAAUGGUCGCAAGCCUGAGGCAGCCAGGCCGCGGGUAUGUAGAAGGCCUUCGGGUUGUAAAGUACUUUCAGCGGGGAGGCGUUACCCGCAGAAGAAGCACCUGCUAACUCCGUGCCAGCAGCCGCGGUAAUUC
rnacentral:rRNA from 1 species